rnacentral:lncRNA from 1 species
CACGGAGCACAGCUAGCAGCUCUCAGCCUGUGGGAGCCUCUCGCACGGCCGCCUUUGAACACCCUGACUCCUGGGUUGGGAGCCAAGGCAGGGCUGGCCACACACACGGGUGGGAGCACAUGGAGGUGCGGGCUGGGCUGCUGGCUGGGGGGCUGCAAGUUUGUUGCUCUUCAAAGAAUAUAGCUGUGUACACAUAGCAACUUCGUCUGAAGGGCACGGUUUUGCAAAAUCAACAUAAAGUUCUCCUGUCCAGCCCAGACCUGGUUUGUGUUGCAGCCACAAACAACAACACCAGCACAACAUGAGGCCUUCUCCUUCAGCAGCUCACUGCUUGGAAAGAUUUCAAGAGCGCUUCUGUCUCAUUUUAUGCCCUACAGUUCAGCAGCCAAAUAUAAAGGACAAAGUCAUUUUGGCUGAUGAUGUUCCAGAGAAGAAUACAGUUGUUAAGCGGUAUUAAAUUGACGGGUAGUAGCACAGCACAAGCAGGACUGAGAUACAAGUCUCCAGGAAAGAAAAGUCCAUACAAUGAAAGGAAAUAAGUGUUUUCUUUCCAAGCUCUGAACAUACAUUGCUCUAAUCAGCUGAAAUUAACCAUCACUGUCACUUAAUUUGAUUGUAGAAAUAUUAUUCUCAAUAUAGCUUUGUGUAAUAGGGGCAU